rnacentral:rRNA from 1 species
AGUGAACGCUGGCGGUAGGCCUAACACAUGCAAGUCGAACGGCAGCACAGUAAGAGCUUGCUCUUCCGGGUGGCGAGUGGCGGACGGGUGAGGAAUACAUCGGAAUCUACUUUUUCGUGGGGGAUAACGUAGGGAAACUUACGCUAAUACCGCAUACGACCUACGGGUGAAAGCAGGGGAUCUUCGGACCUUGCGCGAUUGAAUGAGCCGAUGUCGGAUUAGCUAGUUGGCGGGGUAAAGGCCCACCAAGGCGACGAUCCGUAGCUGGUCUGAGAGGAUGAUCAGCCACACUGGAACUGAGACACGGUCCAGACUCCUACGGGAGGCAGCAGUGGGGAAUAUUGGACAAUGGGCGCAAGCCUGAUCCAGCCAUACCGCGUGGGUGAAGAAGACCUUCGGGUUGUAAAGCCCUUUUGUUGGGAAAGAAAAGCAGCAGGUUAAUACCCCGCUGUUCUGACGGUACCCAAAGAAUAAGCACCGGCUAACUUCGUG